rnacentral:rRNA from 1 species
GAUGAACGCUGGCGGCGUGCCUAAUACAUGCAAGUCGAGCGAACGGACGAGAAGCUUGCUUCUCUGAUGUUAGCGGCGGACGGGUGAGUAACACGUGGAUAACCUACCUAUAAGACUGGGAUAACUUCGGGAAACCGGAGCUAAUACCGGAUAAUAUUUUGAACCGCAUGGUUCAAAAGUGAAAGACGGUCUUGCUGUCACUUAUAGAUGGAUCCGCGCUGCAUUAGCUAGUUGGUAAGGUAACGGCUUACCAAGGCAACGAUGCAUAGCCGACCUGAGAGGGGGAUCGCCCACACGGGAACGGAGACAGGGUCCAGACUACUACGGGAGGCAGCAGUAGGGAAUCUUCCGCAAUGGGCGAAAGCCUGACGGAGCAACGCCGCGUGAGUGAUGAAGGUCUUCGGAGCGUAAAACUCUGUUAUUAGGGAAGAACAUAUGUGUAAGUAACUGUGCACAGCUUGACGGUACCUAAUCAGAAAGCCACGGCUAACUACGUG